GUGGGGAAUAUUGGACAAUGGGGGAAACCCUGAUCCAGCGACGCCGCGUGUGUGAAGAAGGCCUGCGGGUUGUAAAGCACUUUUAGUGGGGACAAAAAGCUACGGACUAAUACUCUGUGGUCUUGAUUUAACCCAAAGAAAAAGCACCGGCUAACUCUGUGCCAGCAGCCGCGGUAAUACAGAGGGUGCGAGCGUUAAUCGGAAUUACUGGGCGUAAAGCGCGCGUAGACGGUUUUGUAAGUCAGAUGUGAAAUCCCUGGGCUCAACCUGGGAACUGCAUUUGAAACUGCAUGGCUAGAGUAUGGAAGAGGGAAGUGGAAUUUCCGGUGUAGCGGUGAAAUGCGUAGAUAUCGGAAGGAACACCAGUGGCGAAAGCGACUUCCUGGUCCAAUACUGACGUUCAUGUGCGAAAGCGUGGGGAGCAAACAGGAUUAGAUACCCUUGUAGUCC
rnacentral:rRNA from 1 species